GGUGGGGUAGCCAAGUGGUCGAAGGCGAUUGUCUCGAAAACAGUUAUCCUCGCAAGGGGAUCGCGAGUCCGAAUCUCGCCCCCACCG
rnacentral:tRNA from 1 species